rnacentral:rRNA from 1 species
CACGUAGUUAGCCGGGGCUUCUUAGUCAGGUACUGUCACUUUCUUCCCUGCUGAUAGAGCUUUACAUACCGAGAUACUUCAUCGCUCACGCGGCGUCGCUGCAUCAGGGUUUCCCCCAUUGUGCAAUAUUCCCCACUGCUGCCUCCCGCAGGAGUCUGGGCCGUGUCUCAGUCCCAAUGUGCCGGCCGCCCUCUCAGGCCGGCUACUGAUCGUCGCCUUGGUGGGCCGUUACCCCGCCAACGAGCUAAUCAGACGCGGGCCCAUCCCGAUACCACCGGAGUUUUCCCCAGGAAGCUAUGCAGCCUCCUGGGCGUAUGCGGUAUUAGCAGCCGUUUCCGGCUGUUAUCCCCCGGUAUCGGGGCAGGUUGCCCUACGCGUUACGUCUACCCGCCG